UUCCUUCAAAAAGAAAAAAAAACUGAGCCCAGUGUAAUUUGGAAGUGAGAUUUUCUUCGCACACAUACAAACAUAAUCAAUGAAGUAAUAGUAUAUAUCUUCGGUCAGAAACAAAUACACUCUAAAAAGCUUAGAAAUACACAGUACCCCUACUUAGGUCCUACACGCUAUGCCCUAAUCUGCAUAAGCAGGAUAAGAACAAAAAGAGAGCGGGGCCAGGCCAUGCCAUUUGCAGAAGCUCUCACACACAUCCGAACAGAGCUGAUGCUCCAAGCAUCCAAACGCUCAGGUCCCCAGGGAUCUUCCAUUUGGCUCACUCCAGCAGCUGCCAGGUCGCCAUCGUGGCGCGAGCGACUAGCUCCAAAUCAGGGCGCUGAACAUCCUGCGAUACCUCCUGCCACUGCCAGGCAAGACAAGGCCUGCUAAGCUCCUGCCAGCCAAGGAGGCGAACUUAACAUUAGGAAAAUGAUCAGCAACAAAAAAUUAUGCUUACAUCUGAGCUGACGCAGCCAAGCCGAUGCGUACGACCGAGCUGAUGCACCAAGUGUCCUAGUCAUCCUCUGAUGUGGACACCUGCAAAAAAAAAAAAACAGCUCCUCGCAUUAAAAUUACCGGCAGAGGUUGCCCCUAGGCCAGCCGCUGUCAAGGAAGAGGGGUUUUAUUCGGCCGUCGCUUUCCCGGCGAAGAAGAUCUGGUUUCACAAUGUUGAAUCAGUUUGGGUUUGCAGGACAAAGACAGCCAUUAAUUAAGGGUGCACUCCAAACAUCAUUCAGGCACUUUCUACUGGUGGCACUGGCACUGAAACGGAUCGGUAAAUAAAUUAUUUCACCACCAUGGCGAGUGCAAUGAAAGCUCUGGGGAUUUUGUUACUGCGUAAUUCUCAAAUGUUUACUCAGUCUAUGUAUUAUUUAGACAGCUGCAUGUACUUGAGAGUAAAAAACAGAGAAAAACUUGAGAAGCAAUAGAACAAGAGGAUAGUGAACAAAGAAAAAGAUAGACAGGUUCCUUCAAACAGCUUUUGUGUUUGAAGUUGAAAUCUAAUGUUAAAAAUCCAGCAAAAACAAAAAAUCAUGGUGAGUUACUGACUCAAAUGGGAAAAGGUCAUCUGUGAAGGAGUGCACUUCGAAGGGUGAGCGAAUAGGAUAUGUAGCUCUUGUAGACAGUUCUGUUAUCCUACUCGUCUCUAGGUUGGCAUCGCACCUUGUUGACACAUUUAUCUGUGUCAUUUUCCUUUUUUUACCCAACUGUCAACCACAUCUAACUUUAUGGUUGCUCUUGUGAAUGGACUUACCUGCGAACUAACAAGACAAUGACACUAUAAAAGCAGAAGUUCACUCAGCAGCUAGAGCAAUAGACACACGGCGCUAGUUAAUUACCUGGUAGGCAUAGCAUGGGAGAAACAAAUAAUGCAAGAGCUGAUGGUGGAGUCAAGGGUGGAGAAGAGGAAGAGAAAGGCAGGAAGAAGAUGACCAAGGGUGGUAAGGCGUCGUUCCAUGACCUGUUCAAGAACGCGGACGCCACUGAUGUGGUGCUGAUGCUGGUUGGCACAGUCGCCGCGCUUGCGAGCGGCAUGUCACAGGUGGUCAUGUCGAUCAUCUUCGGGCGGAUGGUAGAUGCCUUUGGAGGUGCCACCCGGGGCACCAUCCUUCCCCGAGUUGACAAGGUACCCUUUUGCUUCUGUAUGAAUCUGCAAGCAUGCAACGCCACUGAAACUUGUUACAUGUUUGCUGAUAAGAACUUGCUUACAGGACACAGAUAUGAAAUUACACAUUAACCUGAUAAGAGAUUCUUGAUUUUUCAUGCCCUCAAUUUACAAAUACACACAUCAUGUUCUUUUAUUUGAAUAUAUCAGAAGAAUAUGGAUCUUGUAAUAUGGCUGUCAUAUUUCUUUCAGGUGGUUCUAGAGUUUGUCUACUUAGCAAUUGGAACAUGGCCUGCUUGUUUUCUCCGUAAGUAUGACCUACACAUAUGAUCUUUACGGUAUCUUCGCGUGGCCUUUGCCAUUAUUUAUGUAUUUCCCAGAAACAAGUAGAUCCUAUUGAAUGCUACUAUUCAUCAAGCCACCAACCACCCAAGCUAUGAUACUCAAUUACCAUAAGAGUCAGAGGUUUCUCAAUAACAAAAUUUGUUGCAGAGACACUUCAGUACCAUGACAUAUUAUUUAUGUACUCCAAAUAUGUAUGAUGUUGUACGUUGUCAUACUUGAUCGUGUAAAUAUAGCAUACGAGUAUGUCUUUGAUAGUUCAACUCUGUAUAAUUUGAGUAUGUUAAUACCUAUGAAUAUAAUAUGCUCAAAAUCAAGUGUUUUGAGAAUCAUAAUACCUAGGAAUACCACAGGCGCAUACUCAAUAUCAGAUCGCCC
rnacentral:lncRNA from 1 species